GACGAACGCUGGCGGCGUGCUUAACACAUGCAAGUCGAACGGAAAGGCCCUGCUUGCAGGGUACUCGAGUGGCGAACGGGUGAGUAACACGUGGGUGAUCUGCCCUGCACUUCGGGAUAAGCCUGGGAAACUGGGUCUAAUACCGGAUAGGAGCCAUUUUUAGUGUGAUGGUUGGAAAGUUUUUUCGGUGUAGGAUGAGCUCGCGGCCUAUCAGCUUGUUGGUGGGGUAAUGGCCUACCAAGGCGGCGACGGGUAGCCGGCCUGAGAGGGUGGACGGCCACAUUGGGACUGAGAUACGGCCCAGACUCCUACGGGAGGCAGCAGUGGGGAAGAUUGCACAAGGGGCGCAAGCCUGAUGCAGCGACGCCGCGUGGGGGAUGACGGCCUUCGGGUUGUAAACUCCGUUCGCUAGGGACGAAGCUUUUUGUGACGGUACCUAGAUAAGAAGCACCGGCUAACUACGUG
rnacentral:rRNA from 1 species